AAGCAAUUUAAACAGUGUGCUAGCUAGGUUUAAGGAUUGCAGUAUUGAAACAAAAGGCAUGAGUCUUUUAGCCCCUUGUGUAAAGACACGCAGAGUUAUAACUCAAUGAUACAGCU